rnacentral:rRNA from 1 species
UACGUAGGGUCCGAGCGUUGUCCGGAAUUAUUGGGCGUAAAGGGCUCGUAGGCGGUCUGUUGCGUCGGGAGUGAAAACUUACAGCUUAACUGUGAGCGUGCUUCCGAUACGGGCAGACUAGAGGUAUGCAGGGGAGAACGGAAUUCCUGGUGUAGCGGUGAAAUGCGCAGAUAUCAGGAGGAACACCGGUGGCGAAGGCGGUUCUCUGGGCAUUACCUGACGCUGAGGAGCGAAAGUGUGGGGAGCGAACAGG